GAUGAACGCUAGCGGCAGGCUUAAUACAUGCAAGUCGAACGGUAACAGGUGUAGCAAUACAUGCUGACGAGUGGCAGACGGGUGAGGAACACGUACGCAAUCUUCCUUUUACUGGGGUACAACCCGAAGAAAUUCGGGCUAAUUCCCCAUAACAUUGUUUGAGGGCAUCCGAUAACAAUUAAAACUCCGGUGGUAAAAGAUGAGCGUGCGUCUGAUUAGCUUGUUGGUGAGGUAACGGCUUACCAAGGCAACGAUCAGUAACUGGUGUGA
rnacentral:rRNA from 1 species